UGGGGAAUCUUGCACAAUGGGCGCAAGCCUGAUGCAGCCAUGCCGCGUGAAUGAUGAAGGCCUUAGGGUUGUAAAGCUCUUUCACCGGUGAAGAUAAUGACGGUAGCCGGAGAAGAAGCCCCGGCUAACUCCGUGCCAGCAGCCGCGGUAAUACGGAGGGGGCUAGCGUUGUUCGGAAUUACUGGGCGUAAAGCGCGCGUAGGCGGUUUGGCAAGUUAGGCGUGAAAGCCCGGGGCUUAACUCCGGAAUUGCGCUUAAAACUGCCAGGCUAGAGUCCGAGAGAGGUGAGUGGAAUUCCCAGUGUAGAGGUGAAAUUCGUAGAUAUUGGGAAGAACACCAGUGGCGAAGGCGGCUCACUGGCUCGGUACUGACGCUGAGGUGCGAAAGCGUGGGGAGCAAACAGGAUUAGAUACCCCCGUAGUCC
rnacentral:rRNA from 1 species